rnacentral:rRNA from 1 species
GACGUAGGGCGCGAGCGUUGUCCGGAUUUAUUGGGCGUAAAGAGCUUGUAGGCGGCUUGUCGCGUCGUCCGUGAAAACUUGGGGCUCAACCCCAAGCUUGCGGUCGAUACGGGCAGGCUCGAGUUCGGUAGGGGAGACUGGAAUUCCUGGUGUAGCGGUGAAAUGCGCAGAUAUCAGGAGGAACACCGGUGGCGAAGGCGGGUCUCUGGGCCGAUACUGACACUGAGGAGCGAAAGCGUGGGGAGCGAACAGG